AGUAAUGUUCUGGGUGACAGCCAGACCAGCAUCUGUAUCACCAUUGAACCCGGUCUUCUUCUGAAAGGUGACAUCUUGUUGAAGUGCUACCACAAGCGUUACCGCAGCCCGUGCCGAGACGUGAUAUUCCGGGUGCAGUUUCACACCUGCGCCGUGCACGACCUGGGGAUUGUGUUUGGAAAGGACGAGCUCGAUGAGACAUUUAAAGAUGAGAGGUUUCCAGAAUAUGGGAAAGUGGAGUUUAUUUUCUCAUUUGGACCAGAGAAAUUACAUGGUGUGGAUCAACUUGAAAAUGGGCCGAGCGUCUCGGUUGACUACAACACUCAGGACCCUCUGAUCCGCUGGGACUCCUACGAAAACUUCAACCAGAACUGUGAGGACAACA